AGCAGCAGCGGUAAUUCCAGCUCCAAUAGCGUAUAUUAAAGUUGCUGCAGUUAAAAAGCUCGUAGUUGAAUUUCGGGACCAUCAUGUCGGUCGUGCCUCGGUACGUACUGGCAUUGUUGGUUUCUACCUUCUGACGAACCAUGAUGUCAUUUAUUUGGUGUCGUGGAAAAUCAGGACUGUUACUUUGAAAAAAUUAGAGUGUUUAAAGCAGGCUCACGCUUGAAUACAUUAGCAUGGAAUAAUGAAAUAGGACGUUUGAUUCUAUUUUGUUGGCUUCUAGGAUCGACGUAAUGAUUAAUAGGGAUAGUUGGGGGCAUUAGUAUUCAAUUGUCAGAGGUGAAAUUCUUGGAUUUAUUGAAGACUAACUACUGCGAAAGCAUUUGCCAAGGAUGUUUUCAUUAAUCAAGAACGAAAGUUAGGGGAUCGAAGACGAUCAGAUACCGUCGUAGUCUUAACCAUAAACUAUGCCGACUAGGGAUCGGAUGAUGUUAAUUUUUUCAAUGACUCAUUCGGCGCCUUA
rnacentral:rRNA from 1 species